rnacentral:rRNA from 1 species
GACGAACGCUGGCGGCGUGCUUAACACAUGCAAGUCGAGCGGUAAGGCCCUUUCGGGGGUACACGAGCGGCGAACGGGUGAGUAACACGUGGGUGACCUGCCCUCAGCUCUGGGAUAAGCCUGGGAAACUGGGUCUAAUACCGGAUAUGACUCCAUGACGCAUGUUGUGGGGUGGAAAGCCUUGUGCGGCUGAGGAUGGGCCCGCGGCCUAUCAGCUUGUUGGUGGGGUGANGGCCUACCAAGGCGACGACGGGUAGCCGGCCUGAGAGGGCGACCGGCCACACUGGGACUGAGACACGGCCCAGACUCCUACGGGAGGCAGCAGUGGGGAAUCUUGCGCAAUGGGCGAAAGCCUGACGCAGCGACGCCGCGU